GGGGCUGAUUCUGGAUUCGACGGGAUUUGCGAAACCCAAGGUGCAUGCCGAGGGGCGGUUGGCCUCGUAAAAAGCCGCAAAAAAAUAGUCGCAAACGACGAAAACUACGCUUUAGCAGCUUAAUAACCUGCUUAGAGCCCUCUCUCCCUAGCCUCCGCUCUUAGGACGGGGAUCAAGAGAGGUCAAACCCAAAAGAGAUCGCGUGGAGGCCCUGCCUGGGGUUGAAGCGUUAAAACGAAUCAGGCUAGUCUGGUAGUGGCGUGUCCGUCCGCAGGUGCCAGGCGAAUGUAAAGACUGACUAAGCAUGUAGUACCGAGGAUGUAGGAAUUUCGGACGCGGGUUCAACUCCCGCCAGCUCCACCA
rnacentral:tmRNA from 32 species